rnacentral:lncRNA from 1 species
CUCCUUUUGGUCCAUUUCCAGUCUAGUCCAUCCAUCCAUCCCUCCCUCUGGCCCGCAGCCCACCCUCCCAGCCUGAUCCUUGCUGCUACAGCCGCGCGCGUGCACACACACACACACACACGCACACGCGCGCACACACACACACACACACACACACACAUACACACACGCACCCCUACCUCUCUGUGAAAUCCACCCACCCUGGGAAGGAUGAGCAAUGCGUUCCGGGCCUGGAGCCUUUGAGGAUGGGCUGUCAGGAAGGCAUCAAGAUCCACUGUCAACAUUGCAAGGCUUGGAGCAGAUGGAGGGUCAUAUAUCACAGGCCAAACUAUUUACAAGAGUUAAACUAAAAACUGGUAAGUAACAGAAGUUCUCUCCUUCUAUUUUUACCAUUAUUUUUUCAAAAUUGCUUGGAGUUAGGUUAUAAGAAAACAUGGAUAUGACCUUA